rnacentral:rRNA from 1 species
AUGGAGCCAAGUUCCUUUCCGAAUGGACUAAAUGUCAAAUCUCCAUUCCUAAAUGUUGAAUCCGAAGUGCAUCCAUCGAUCAUCGAAUGCCCAAUUGGAACAAUUCCAAUACUUCAUAACAAUAGAAGGGAGCAUAUAGCAGGACACAAUAUUGAUGCAUUGUUUACCAAGUUUAAGCAACAAGGGGUGGCAGGAACAAAAAAUUAUGAUAAUGUAUAUGGGGCAAGUGCUAUAAUAAAUGUUUAUGAGCCAAAGGUGAAGAAAGAUAGUAAGCAUCUCAGUGCAACGGGGAUUCAAAUUGAUAAUGGGCCAAAUGGACUUGAAGGUAUAAUUGUUGGUUAUUCGGUGGCUCCAAACUUGGUUGGUGAUAGCUUCGCGAGGUUUCACAUUGCUUGGGAUGCAGGCGCAUCGAACAAGUCCUGCUAUGAUCACACAUGUCCUGGUUUCGUGCAAGUUAACUGCAACUUUGGUCUUGGUGGAAGAUUGCAACAUGUUUCAGUCUAUAAUGGGAAACAAUAUGUACUUAAGAUCCUUAUUUUCAAGGACACGAAGACAAAGAAUUGGUGGGUAGCAUAUGGUGAAGCGAAUAUACCCAUCGGAUAUUGGCCAAGUUCAUUAUUCACUUACCUUAGGGAUAAAGGUAAUUACACAUUAUGGGGUGGGCAUGUUUCGGGCCCGACGGCUUCAUCUGAUUCUCCACAAAUGGGUAGUGGGCAUUUUGCCUCCGAAGGACAUGGCAAAGCAGCUUUCAUAAAGAGCAUCCAAAUAAUUGAUGAGAAUAACAAGCUUAUUACUCCAAAUGAGAACAGAGUCGUCACUGGAACUAGUGAUAUAACAAAAUAUACUGUUGAUGGUUAUGGCAUUGAUAAGGAGGGUAUGCAUAUGUACUAUGGUGGACCAGGUAAUUUCGUCUAA